rnacentral:pre_miRNA from 1 species
GGGUGCCAUUUUGAAAUCGCAUUAUUUGGAAAUAAAACACCCCGUGUAGCAGCGUUAUUUUGAGAGAAAACCCUUCUCUCGAAAUAACUGGUAAACCUCAUUGUAUGAGGAAUGAAAGUUAUUUUGAGAGAAGGGUUUUCUCUCGAAAUAACGCUGCUAAACGGGGUGUUUUAUUUCGAAAUAAUGCGAUUUCAAAAUGGCGCCC